rnacentral:lncRNA from 1 species
UCACUCAUGAUAUCUCUCACCUUACAUGUGCUGAUUUUCUCCGGGCUCCUGGGGUCCAGACACCUGUUAUUGUCCGGUUCUCUACAGUUGUGCAUGAGCGUGGAAGCCCCGAGACCUUGAGGGAUCCACGUGGUUUUGCUGUCAAGUUCUACACCAGAGAGGUACUGAGGAUAAAUUCUAACUUGCCUCCUAGGGGGAAUAUAUAUACAUCUUAACUGUUCUAUUUUUUGUUAUGUCUUAAAAAGGAACAUUCUUUUUAGAACUGUUGUGAGAUGACACAUCUUGGCAACAUUUUUCUGUCAAUGUAAAGGUUUAGCUGAUUUCAACUAUUGCUUGGUAACUUGAUGUGUACUUUAGCCAUGUAGAUGAUGUCCUUGGCAUGAGCUGUUAUUCAGAUGAACUGAUAGCUCUAUAUUCUUUUACUCAUUGGAAUGAACUGUAUCUUUUUUUUUCCUUAGUUGAAAGCUACCUCCUGUUUAAGUUGACCUUUUACAUUGUCAUGAUGAACUUUUAUGAAAUUAAAUUCUGAUUACCUAUUUGUGACACAGAUACAAGUGUCUUUUGCUUAAAAGAACAAUACAAUGUGGCUCCAUAAUGUGCACAUGGAUAAUCACAGAUUCUCUCAGCAGAAACAGUAAAAUCAAAGAUAUUUCAUAACUGAGUCCAUCUCUGUCCAGUUUCACCUACAGAUUGCUGUGCUGUUUGUUUACCUUUUUUUAACAAUUUUUGACGCCUUAUAUAGUGACCCCGACACUUUAUAUUGAGCUUUUUAUAUCCAAAGGAAUAGUAUCUUAUGAUUUUCUCCGUGCCUUUUUCAGGGUAACUUUGACCUUGUGGGUAACAACAUGCCUGUGUUUUUCAUACGAGAUGGGAUGAAAUUCCCUGAUAUGGUCCAUGCUUUCAAGCCAAACCCAAAGACCAAUUUGCAGGAGAACUGGAGAAUAGUAGAUUUCUUCUCUCACCACCCAGAGAGCCUGCACAUGUUCACCUUCCUCUUUGAUGAUGUUGGCAUCCCACUCAACUACAGGCACAUGGAGGGCUUUGGUGUCAAUACCUACACCUUGAUCAACAGGGAUGGAAAGCCUCACCUUGUGAAAUUCCAUUGGAAGCCUACUUGUGGCG